rnacentral:rRNA from 1 species
UGAGGAAUAUUGGUCAAUGGAGGCAACUCUGAACCAGCCAUGCCGCGUGAAGGAUGACGGCCCUAUGGGUUGUAAACUUCUUUUAUAGAGGAAGAAACUUGUCUACGUGUAGACAACUGACGGUACUCUACGAAUAAGGAUCGGCUAACUCCGUGCCAGCAGCCGCGGUAAUACGGAGGAUCCAAGCGUUAUCCGGAUUCAUUGGGUUUAAAGGGUCCGUAGGCGGGUCUUUAAGUCAGUGGUGAAAGCCGACAGCUCAACUGUCGAACUGCCAUUGAUACUGGAGACCUUGAGUACAAAUGAAGUAGGCGGAAUGAGUCAUGUAGCGGUGAAAUGCAUAGAUAUGACUC